CGCCCUUAGAGUUUGAUCAUGGCUCAGGACGAACGCUGGCGGCGUGCCUAAUACAUGCAAGUCGAACGCAGCUUGCUUUGGUAAGAUGAGUGGCGAACGGGUGAGUAACACGUGGGUAACCUGCCUAUCAGAGGGGGAUAACACUUGGAAACAGGUGCUAAUACCGCAUAGAUUUCUUUCGCAUGAAAAGAGAGGAAAGACGUACGUGUCACUGAUAGAUGGACCCGCGGUGCAUUAGCUAGUUGGUGAGGUAACGGCUCACCAAGGCCAUGAUGCAUAGCCGACCUGAGAGGGUGAUCGGCCACACUGGGACUGAGACACGGCCCAGACUCCUACGGGAGGCAGCAGUAGGGAAUCUUCGGCAAUGGACAAAAGUCUGACCGAGCAACGCCGCGUGAGUGAAGAAGGUUUUCGGA
rnacentral:rRNA from 1 species